UGAGGAAUAUUGGUCAAUGGGCGAGAGCCUGAACCAGCCAAGUAGCGUGCAGGAUGACGGCCCUAUGGGUUGUAAACUGCUUUUAUAUGGGAAUAAAGUGAGGGACGUGUCCCUUAUUGCAUGUACCAUACGAAUAAGGACCGGCUAAUUCCGUGCCAGCAGCCGCGGUAAUACGGAAGGUCCAGGCGUUAUCCGGAUUUAUUGGGUUUAAAGGGAGCGUAGGCUGUUUGUUAAGCGUGUUGUGAAAUGUAGGAGCUCAACUUUUAGAUUGCAGCGCGAACUGGCAGACUUGAGUGCGCACAACGUAGGCGGAAUUCAUGGUGUAGCGGUGAAAUGCUUAGAUAUCAUGACGAACUCCGAUUGCGAAGGCAGCUUACGGGAACGCAACUGACGCUAAAGCUCGAAGGUGCGGGUAUCGAACAGG
rnacentral:rRNA from 1 species